rfam:Glycine max cultivar Williams 82 chromosome 1, whole genome shotgun sequence.
UUCUUAUUGGAUGAUGAUUAUCAUGUGUCAUGUUUUGAUUGAAUGUCGAAUUCAUGGAAGAUGAAAUGUAUUGUUGUUGUCAUUAGUCAAUCAGAACAUGAUACACGUGACAGUUAUCACCC